rfam:Camelus ferus unplaced genomic scaffold scaffold350, whole genome shotgun sequence.
GGGGUAAUAGCUCAAUGGUAGAGCACAUGCUUACCAUGCAUGAGGUCCUGGGUUCUAGCCCCAGUACCUCCA